rnacentral:rRNA from 1 species
GACAGAGGGUGCAAACGUUGUUCGGAAUUACUGGGCGUAAAGCGCGUGUAGGCGGUUGGGCAAGUCGGAUGUGAAAGCCCAGGGCUCAACCCUGGAAGUGCAUUCGAUACUGCCUGGCUAGAGUCCCGGAGAGGGUGGUGGAACUCUCGGUGUAGAGGUGAAAUUCGUAGAUAUCGAGAAGAACACCUGUGGCGAAGGCGGCCACCUGGACGGUGACUGACGCUGAGACGCGAAAGCGUGGGGAGCAAACAGG